AAGAAACGGAGCACUCCACAUGGAUUUUUUAAAUGUGUAUUGAAAAAUAGAUAUUUAAAAAAUCCCUGUGGAGUGCUCCGUUUCUU